AGCGGCGCCGGGCGGGGGCUGUGUCUCGCCGCCGCGGAAUGGCUCCUCCCGCUGCUGCCCGGCGUGGGGCCUGUCCUAGUUUGUCUUCUGCAGGCAAGGUACGGGCAAAUUCAGUCCUGAAUGAGAGAAGUUUCCUCGUUAACAGCUCAGCUUCGUUAUUUAAUGGUUGCGCACCCUCUGUGGAAAGCGCUGAGGCGCCGGCUCACGCUGUCAGGCUCUGCCUUUGCGCCUUCGUGGCCAUCCCACCCCUGCUCCCGCACCCUGUGCUGCCUGAUUCGGAGCUACCAAGGGUCUGAGGGAACGAGCACACCCAAGGGAAAAACUGACAGCCUCCACCCACGCUUUGGUGUUUGGGUGUGCUACGUUAAACUUGGAUGCAAGCAACAACAAUUAAAAUACUGACGCACAUAUUGUCACAAUGUUUCACGUAAACCCUGGAACACUGCUGUACUUUCUCUUCCAAGUAUUUCAACACUGUCAGUACAAUACAAUGGUACUGAAAAUGCGUGUUGACUGACAGAGUCAUGUACAAAUACAUGCUUGAAAAACCGACAGUGCAUAGGUCACACGGCUUUGGUAUCGGUUGGGUUUGGAUUGCAGUAGUACAGUUAUGAUCCAAACAGAAACAGUGAGUUUCUGUUUAAUUUCCUGGAUUGUUUGAAAUGGGUAUUUGAUAACCUGUUGUGUAUGCAAUAUGCCAUUUUAACAGUCCUGGAGCCUGGAGUUCUGCUCAGCCAUAACACAGCACAUGAAGCUGACAGCAGGGUGGAAUUGUACAUGCUGCUCACCUUAUGCUCCUUAAUUGUGCUCAGCAGAGACCAUAUCUAAGGACAGAGGUAGUUUUGCUUUCACGCUAAUUUAAUCCCUGGCUACUCUACUGGGACUGCCACCAACUAAGGUGGAACAGUGUUUUAUGAUGAUAAUCUGUUUACUGAGAAAUUGGCAAAAUGCUAAGAAGUGCCAUUGAACAGUAAGGUAAAAUGGUGUCAUGUUACUAUUGACCUGUCCCUGAUUUUAACGUACAACUAGAUGGGAAAAGUCCUUGAAACCCCUACCAGUCCUUGACAGUAACUCACAUUGAUGCUUCCUAUUGAGGAUCAUUACUUGCUUUAUCUAUUUUCUUAUAGGGUUUGCAUGAAGGGUUUAAUCUUUCUCAACAAAGCAUAGAGAUGAUCAAAUUUUUAUAAAAGUCCACUGUGUUUAACAAUAAUGUUAUUAAUUUUAAACCUCUUGCCUGUAUUUGGGAAUUGUAUGUUCAAAUAUCCAGCUUGUAUCCCGAUACAAAAAAGAAGCAUGUGUUUCUACUAGGAUAAUAAUAUUCACUUACUGUUUCUUUACUUACUUGUCUGUCUUCGCAGAGCAUUCAGCCCUACUUUGGGGACUACAUCUCUGUCUAAAUUUAAAUAAUUAAACGACAUCAAAUGUAGUCAUCAGAGUUUAUAAAAAAGAGAAUUGUAUGUCUAUAUAUAGAUAUUGCCCAAAACUUUAAGACGCUUCUAUUUCUUCUUGUUCAGAAAAGCCAUUUUCUUCAAAUGAGUCAGCUUUGGACUAAGGCCAAGCAAGAGAACUUUACCCCCACUGACAACAGCUUUAGAAUUUCUCACUACAGUGCCCUGCAUCGGUGCCCUACACUGUGUCUAUAAUAAAAUUACUAUUUUUUUUUUUAAUCUCUUGCAAAUGAUUCAUCAUUCGUGUCAUAAACCACAUAACAUAUCAUAAUUAAUGUGAUUAGCUCUCUACAACUGAUGCCCUCCAUCAUCAAAUCUUCACAGCACUUUCCUAUGUGAAUUAUCACAACUUUUUAAUGUGAAAAUAUUUUUUGGAAAUGUAUACUGCAAAUUUCCCAAUACAUUUAUUAAUGCAGCAAAGUAAUAGAUGGGUGUGAGAAGUAGUAUAUAGUAUAUAUAUUAUAGCUACUGUUGCUCAGAUGGUGAAUCUCCCAUAGUUGUUAACAUUAGUUGCAAUGUAAGAUGCUGUUUCAGUUACAAUUUUAGCUAUCACAGUAAAAGCCUAUCCAAAGUCUGCUGAAACUACAGCUAGUUGGAGCAUAACUACUGAAGGCAUUGUGCACAGACAAGAUAUAACUAUCUGUACAAAUUAAGAAAAUACGAGGAGUUAUCCUAGGGAUCUAAAUGCGCUAUAAAUAUCAAGACAGUAUUUAGAUUACAGCUCUAACAGACUCCCCAGCAAUAUUAAUUCCCAGAGAUGGUAUCCCAGUUACCAAAUAAUUACAGAUUAGGUGCACAAAGGACAAAAUACAGAGUUACAUAAUGAGUCUUUCAAGUAAGACUAUGCAUCUGAUUCCACUGAACAUUUAAACAAAUCCUUUAUACACAUUUUAAUGCUGGACAUCAAGCCAAAACUCCUCUCAUUUUAAUUUCUAUUUUCAUAUUUGAACAGGAACACUGGUAAAUACUGCAACAAUAUGCACCUGAAUCAAAAGAACAUUUGGUGAAACAGCCACCUGUGUGUUUGUCUCUCAGGAGUUAAGUGGUCUGGACAAUUACUACAUAGUUUCUUCUGAGUGACAGGGUUUAAUUGCUGCUUUUGCCUAUUCUUACUGCUCUUGUUCAUUUUGAUUGCAUGUUUCCACUUUUCCAGGAAAUAGAUUGAAAGGCCUCUGGGGUAAACACUUCUGUUUAUUAAAUGCUCAGGUAGAGACUUGAAUGGUGGAUUUCAAAUUGAUUUGAAGUGGAACUGCUGGGCGUGAUUGCAAUACAAAUAUUAAAUAAUAAUUAGUGGAAGUAAUAACCACCUGAAAGACACAAAGAGGCAAUUAUUAAUUUUUUCUCUAACAAGUACAUAUUGAAGUUUAUUUUAAGUAUCCCAUAAUUUAAAUUUGCCAAAUAUCUUACUGUAGCAUUUUCUGAAUUUAUGUGGUUGACAUCUGGAUGAGCUUAUACUGGUGAAAUUAACACAAAACUGUCAUAAUUCAGUGGCAAUUAAGUUUUAGAAGUGUGUUGCUAUAACUUCUAAAUGCAUCAUAAGUAUCUACCAUAUUUGAAGAUAAACUCAGUAAACAACUUCUAUUCAGUACAAUCCCAAAUAUACACUGGCUAAAUACUAAUAAAUUUUCUCUGCAUUUGAUUUCUUUGUUUCUCAAAUAGUAAAAUGAAAGUGAUGAAUUAUAAUGCAAGUACCAAGAGAAAACCUUGGUAACACCAGAACCUAUUUUUUAUAUUCUGUGUUCUAGACAUGGUUAGGAAUGUUUUAGAGUUAUUUUAAACCAUUAUAUUGUAACUUUUUCCUUGUAUUUAUCUUCCUUGGUUAGCAUGGGAGAGCUGGUGAAUUCUGAAGAACACUUGGGACAUGGAGGAGCAUUUCAUAUGGAGGAGGAAAGACAAAAAGGGUCACUUGCUUUUUUCUCCUAGGACUUUAUUGAAGAGCAGAAAUUAUAGUCUGAUGGAAAAUGAGGUAAGGACAACCAAAGGAGUGGGAAAAGUUAUUAUGUCUGUGGUGAAGGUGACUAUGAAGAAGAGGGAGACUAGUAAGUGGAAGGACAAAGAGGAGGGAAGGAUAAGGAGAGGACAGAAGAGGUAGGUAAUAAAAUAACCACUUUUGGCCCAGCACACCAUUCCAAAAAGAAAAUUGCAGACCUACACAGACAUCAUACUCCACUUAAUGAAAUCAAUAAAUAUAUAACAUCAGGUCUCUGGAACUUCUGGCAAAGGAUUUAAAUUUUAUUUCAGUACUUUUCUGUUUUUGGCCUUACAAUGCUCUACUAGAGCCUUGUGGUUGUUUACAGCCACUUGAGGAUUAAAGACUGAAAUUAAUUACAGACUUUUGAACAAAAGGCUAGAACCUAGAGCCAGUAAAUGUAUUUUGGCAUUUAAUUCCAUUUAUUUUAGGGGAAGUAAGAUUCCUAAAUGCUCCCUCUGGCAUGACCUGGAUGUGUUACAGAAAGUACAGUUACAAAGGAGGCCCUAAGACUCUGCUAAUUUAUGCCACUUGACAAUUCUCAUCACACAGAAAAUGUAUGUUGGGUUUUCUCAUUUAAACAGUGCUUCUGAGGAUCCUGAGACUCUGAGCAGCACCUGUUAGUGCUGGGAAUUUUCUGCUGACUUGCACCUCAAACUAAGUUAAGAAUUACUGUAAUAGGUGUCUAUGCAAUAAAGAAUAAGAAUCUCUAAAUUCUAUUACCAGUUGAAAAAAGAGUCUUGCUUAGAUCUCUUAUUGAGAAUUGAUCCGAUCACAAGACACUGCUUUAGAUCACAAGGCAUUGAUUUUGUUUAGACUGCAACAGCGAAGGAAUGUGCUUUUUCAGUGUAUUAAAGCUAAGCACAAUAUAGUGAAAGUGUAAUUACAUUUGCUAAGAGAUCUUCUGUGCCAUGCAUUUUGACUGUAAAAUACAGGCUAAUCAUUCAGAUGUUAGGGCCACUAAUUGAUGUACAAAAGAAGUAGAGGCAAUUAAUUAAUUGUGUUGAUUUGGCAUAGCCUCAUUUUUUUGGUAGCGGCAAAGUGGGGCUACAGGGGUGGCUUCUGUGAGAAGCCGCCAGAACAUCCCACCAUGUCCAGCGGAGCCAGUCUCUGAUGGCUUUGAAGAUAAAUGGAUGGAUGUGCUAUGGGCCCAGUUAGAGAGGCUGGUAACACGUCUGUGAUAACAUAAGAAAAUCAAAGCUGUGCAGGUGCAGCUUUUGUCCAGGUGUGGCGAGGCGCCUCUGGUGGGGACCAUCCCCAGUGCAGCACAUGGCAAUGCACUGCUGCAGCCGCUGCCAUCUUGGUGCAGCCCAUGGCUUCCCCUUGCUGCCCCUGCCCCGGCCAGCCGUGCUGCAGCAGAGAGGGCAGGGGCAGCAGCAGCUUCCCCUUCCAGCACCCGCAGGAGGCAAGG